UGGCUCAGGAUGAACGCUAGCUACAGGCUUAACACAUGCAAGUCGAGGGGCAUCAUGAAGUUGCUGCAAACUUGAUGGCGACCGGCGCACGGGUGAGUAACGCGUAUCCAACCUGGCCCGCAGUAGGGAACAGCCCGGCGAAAGUCGGAUUAAUGCCCUAUGUCUCCUUUGCAGGCAUCCAAUGAGGAAGAAAGAUUUAUCGCUGCGGGAUGGGGAUGCGUCUGAUUAGCUUGUCGGCGGGGUAACGGCCCACCGAGGCGACGAUCAGUAGGGGUUCUGAGAGGAAGGUCCCCCACACUGGUACUGAGACACGGACCAGACUCCUACGGGAGGCAGCAGUGAGGAAUAUUGGUCAAUGGGCGAGAGCCUGAACCAGCCAAGUAGCGUGCAAGGACGACUGCCCUAUGGGUUGUAAACUGCUUUUAUGCGGGGAUAAACUUCAGCACGUGUGCUGUUUUGCAGGUACCGCAUGAAUAAGGACCGGCUAAUUCCGUGCCAGCCGCCGC
rnacentral:rRNA from 1 species